GGGGGUGUAGCUCAUGGGUAGAGCAUUGGACUGCAGAUCAAGAGGUCCCCGGCUCAAAUCUGAGCGCCCCCU
rfam:Equus caballus chromosome 4, whole genome shotgun sequence.